UGGGGAAUUUUGGACAAUGGGCGCAAGCCUGAUCCAGCAAUGCCGCGUGCAGGAAGAAGGCCUUCGGGUUGUAAACUGCUUUUGUACGGAACGAAAAGCUCUGGGUUAAUACCCUGGGGUGAUGACGGUACCGUAAGAAUAAGCACCGGCUAACUACGUGCCAGCAGCCGCGGUAAUACGUAGGGUGCGAGCGUUAAUCGGAAUUACUGGGCGUAAAGCGUGCGCAGGCGGUUUUGUAAGACAGGCGUGAAAUCCCCGGGCUCAACCUGGGAAUGGCGCUUGUGACUGCAAGGCUGGAGUGCGGCAGAGGGGGAUGGAAUUCCGCGUGUAGCAGUGAAAUGCGUAGAUAUGCGGAGGAACACCGAUGGCGAAGGCAAUCCCCUGGGCCUGCACUGACGCU
rnacentral:rRNA from 1 species